ensembl:lncRNA
UUGGUAAACCGUGAUCUCUGGGUGUUGGCACUUUGUGGUGAAGUCUGUGUGUUUCGCGUCUGCACUGAUUAGUUUGUGGGCGUCUCCGUUAAUUGUCAUCAGCAACAGCUGUCACUCAUUACUCAUUCCCUUUAUAUUGGCUUGUCUCACGUCUUGUGUUUGUGAGAUCGUUGUUUCAUGUCGCUACCCUGUUUGUUUGGCUUCAGUGUUGUCUGCGUUGGAUGUUCGUGUUUUCCCGGAACCUCAUCCACUCUACGCACUUCCACUCAGCCACAAAUACUUACCUUCGGCUCUAUUCCCCGCAGUUCCUGUGCCAUCCUCUCCUGCUGCCUUCUCACCGUCAUCAUCCGGAUUCCUCACCACCUCACCACCAUCUUGGAUUUUUGUCUUCCCAGCAUCAUUGUCUUUUCCCUGUUUAUUUAUUUUCAUUAAAGAACCAUAACUCGCUAUUGUUUCCAGUCCUUCCUUCACCCAGCCGUCACAGACUGUUCUUUUAUCUUUGCAGUUUUUGCAACCCUUAUACUGAAUCUUGAAUGCAGUUGUUGAAAAGAAAAAAAAAAAAUUGAGUAUGACCCGAGAGAUUAGAUGUGAACCUGUCAGCCAAUCCACAACGCUGACGUUCCCCUGAGUACUAAUCACCCUCACCUGUUCAUGAUCAGCGAUCUCAUCAAGGCACUAUAAAACACUCACCUCAAGUUCAGUUCACCGUCAAGCCUCCAACAGGAACAGACCUCAUGGUUCUGUCCCCAGCCUGCCUCAUAUCCGAAGAGCUCCACGACGUAACGUAUACGUACUUUUGAAAACUAACCUCUGUGUCCUUGUGCUACUGUCUCCAGGAUUCCUGAUAAACCUUAGUUCCCUGAUUCCCCUUCGAUCUCCGGUGUCUCGAGUGUGCCGGGCAAGCUCGCUGGACAUAUCUUCUCCUAUACCGAAGGAAUAGGACGAGCAUUAGUUACCCGGGAUUGUGUGGCAUUGACCUUUUGUCUCUGGACGUACUCACCUGAACCCAACCUCUCACCGAGUGAUAUUCACAGAAUCCGCACCUGAAAUCACCUGCUAUUCACCUUGCACUAGUCUUGUGAAAAAUAAACUCUGUGUUGAAUUCA